rnacentral:rRNA from 1 species
UACAGAGGUCUCAAGCGUUGUUCGGAUUCAUUGGGCGUAAAGGGUGCGUAGGUGGCGCGGUAAGUCGGGUGUGAAAUCUCGGAGCUUAACUCCGAAACUGCAUUCGAUACUGCCGUGCUUGAGGACUGGAGAGGAGACUGGAAUUUACGGUGUAGCGGUGAAAUGCGUAGAUAUCGUAAGGAAGACCAGUGGCGAAGGCGGGUCUCUGGACAGUUCCUGACGCUGAGGCACGAAGGUCAGGGGAGCAAACGGGG